CAUAGCGGAGGAAAGAGACUAACAAGGGAUUCCCCUAGUAACGGCGAGUGAAGCGGGAAAAGCUCAAAUUUAAAAUCUGACGGUCUCAGACCGUCCGAGUUGUAAUCUAGAGAAGUGYUAUCUGUGCUGGACCAUGUACAAGUCCCUUGGAACAGGGCGUCAUGGAGGGUGAGAAUCCCGUUAAUGACAUGGACUGCCAGCACUUUGUGAUACACUCUCGACGAGUCGAGUUGUUUGGGAAUGCAGCUCAAAAUGGGUGGUAAAUUCCAUCUAAAGCUAAAUACAGGCAAAAGACCGAUAGCGAACAAGUACCGUGAGGGAAAGAUGAAAAGCACUUUGGAAAGAGAGUUAAACAGUACGUGAAAUUGUUGAAAGGGAAACGCUUAAAGUCAGUCGCGUCUUCAGAGACUCAGCCCAGCGUGCUGGGUGCAUUUCUCUGGAUGACGGGCCAGCAUCAGUUUCGGUCACUGGAAAAAGGCUUGAGGAAGGUGGCACCUUUCGAGGUGUGUUAUAGCCUCUUGUUGUAUACAGUGACUGGGACUGAGGAUCGCAGCAUGCCUUUAUGGCCGGGGUUCGCCCACGUAACAUGCUUAGGAUGCUGGCAUAAUGGCUUUAAACGACCCGUCUUGAAACACGGACCAAGGAGUCUAACAUGCC
rnacentral:rRNA from 1 species